rnacentral:misc_RNA from 1 species
CGAUCUUCUUCAUCAUCAGAUCAAUCUCUAAACACAUUUGAUCUUUCUUUCAAUUUUUUUCUAUUUCUAUUGCUAUGGAUAUCAAUUUGUCUCCUCAAUUGCCGAAGAAAAUCUAUGACAAUGAUGGAGGUUCCUACUAUUCAUGGUCUCCCAAGGAACUUCCCAUGCUCCGUGAAGGAAACAUUGGCGCCUCCAAACUUG